GGGUGGUAAUGCCGGAUGCUCCAGUUGAUCGCAUGGUCUUCUGGGAAAGCCUUUGCGGCAUGGGAUGGGGUCGCGUCCUAUCAGCUUGAUGGCGGGGUAACGGCCCACCAUGGCUUCGACGGGUAGCCGGCCUGAGAGGGCGACCGGCCACAUUGGGACUGAGAUACGGCCCAGACUCCUACGGGAGGCAGCAGUGGGGAAUAUUGCACAAUGGGCGCAAGCCUGAUGCAGCGACGCCGCGUGAGGGAUGGAGGCCUUCGGGUUGUAAACCUCUUUUGUUAGGGAGCAAGGCAUUUUGUGUUGAGUGUACCUUUCGAAUAAGCACCGGCUAACUACGUGCCAGCAGCCGCGGUAAUACGUAGGGUGCAAGCGUUAUCCGGAAUUAUUGGGCGUAAAGGGCUCGUAGGCGGUUCGUCGCGUCCGGUGUGAAAGUCCAUCGCUUAACGGUGGAUCCGCGCCGGGUACGGGCGGGCUUGAGUGCGGUAGGGGAGACUGGAAUUCCCGGUGUAACGGUGGAAUGUGUA
rnacentral:rRNA from 1 species